rnacentral:rRNA from 1 species
AACAGGAUUAGAUACCCUGGUAGUCCACGCUGUAAACGAUGUCGAUUUGGAGGUUGUGCCCUUGAGGCGUGGCUUCCGGAGCUAACGCGUUAAAUCGACCGCCUGGGGAGUACGGCCGCAAGGUUAAAACUCAAAUGAAUUGACGGGGGCCCGCACAAGCGGUGGAGCAUGUGGUUUAAUUCGAUGCAACGCGAAGAACCUUACCUACUCUUGACAUCCAGAGAACUUAGCAGAGAUGCUUUGGUGCCUUCGGGAACUCUGAGACAGGUGCUGCAUGGCUGUCGUCAGCUCGUGUUGUGAAAUGUUGGGUUAAGUCCCGCAACGAGCGCAACCCUUAUCCUUUGUUGCCAGCGGUUCGGCCGGGAACUCAAAGGAGACUGCCAGUGAUAAACUGGAGGAAGGUGGGGAUGACGUCAAGUCAUCAUGGCCCUUACGAGUAGGGCUACACACGUGCUACAAUGGCGUAUACAAAGAGAAGCGACCUCGCGAGAGCAAGCGGACCUCAUAAAGUACGUCGUAGUCCGGAUUGGAGUCUGCAACUCGACUCCAUGAAGUCGGAAUCGCUAGUAAUCGUAGAUCAGAAUGCUACGGUGAAUACGUUCCCGGGCCUUGUACACACCGCCCGUCACACCAUGGAAGUGAAAUGCACCAGAAGUGGCAAGUUUAACCAAAAAACAGGAGAACAGUCACUACGGUGUGGUUCAUGACUGGGGUGAAGUCGUAACAAGGUAGCUGUAGGGGAACCUGUGGCUGGAUCACCUCCUU